rnacentral:RNase_P_RNA from 1 species
GAGUUGGCUAGACAGUCGCUCUGCAUAAGCAGGGAGGAAAGUCCGGGCUUCAUAGGACAAAGUGCCAGGUAACGCCUGGGGGGUGUAAACCUACGGAAAGUGCCGCAGAAAGUAAACCGCCAAAGUCAUUCGUGACCGGUAAGGGUGAAAGGGUGCGGUAAGAGCGCACCGCGUGGCUGGUAACAGUCAUGGCAGGGUAAACCCCACUUGAAGCAAGGCCAAAUAGGAAUCGAUUAGGUGUGGUCCGCACUCGAUUCGGGUAGGCUGCUUGAGGCAGUUGGCGACAACUGUCCCAGAUAGAUGACUGUCCACGACAGAACCCGGCUUACCGGCUGACUCAU